CGAUUUUUUAAAAAUGAAAUUUACUAUCUGAUUAUAGAAUACAAGUUUUUAAAAGUAGGGUGUAAUUUAAUUUCCAAUUUUUCAAAAAGCAACUACCUAAUAGGAGGCCCAAAAUUAAAAAAAGAAAAAACAACAUGUCUUCUCUUGUGAUUCUUAAUUCAAAAUUAGGCCAAUUUUUUUUAAAAAACAACACCCCAAUAGGAGGGCCAAAAUUUAAAAAAAAAAAAAAAAAAGAGAAGAGAAGAAAAGAAAAAAAUAAUCUAUCUUCUUCUUCUUCCUAAACUAGCCACCUCCAUGGUUUUGACUUCUGAUUUGGCUACUUCUCUACAACUACAAAAACUUCUCCCUCGGCGCCCGACGGUAAGUCCAGCUACUGGUGAAUCCAGCAUGCACAGCCACUCUCCCUCGCCAGGUGCUGGAUCCGCACCUAGAGUUAAGAGACCAUCAAUACGUCAAACACCACUUCAAAUGUUGAUUGUCCACGUACAGACUUUAAAACCCACUUAUAGCUUAUUACUCUAAUAUCUACUUAAUUAUUAUCCACAUUACUUAACCUAUUCUUACAAAUAUGUAGUUAAUAAAUCAUAGAACCGGAUGAUCAAAUCGUUCUCAGCUGCUUGUUAAACAUUAAAUAAUAUAAUAUAGAAAAAUAUAUAAUCAACUUCACCAAUUUACAAAAUUCAAACCUAUAUAAUAGGAGUAAUAUAAUCAACCCAAUUGAAAGAAAAAAAAACCCAAUUUCAGUAGCUAAUUAAUCACACCCAAUAUUCAACAAAAAAUAAUGUUAAAACUUCCACAAAUCAUCAACUGAUAAAUUAGCAUACAUAUACAAAUAACUUGUUCAUGACAGAGAAAUGCUAGAGAGAGACGACAACCCUAUUCACGACAAGGAAAGUGAGAAAUGGAGAGGCAAAAAAAUUAUUGCAGAGAACGGUGUGAGAAUCUGUGAAAUUUUGAAGGAGAAUGAGAAAUAUCUUUAGACUUGAAGGAGAAGAGUUGAAAUGUCGAAGGAGGUGAAUUUGAAGGAGAAGAGGUUUGGGGAAGUUUU
rnacentral:lncRNA from 1 species